ACGCUCGACACCUACGGGAGACAGCAGUGAGGAAUAUUGGUCAAUGGACGCAAGUCUGAACCAGCCAUGCCGCGUGCAGGAUGACGGCUCUAUGAGUUGUAAACUGCUUUUGUACGAGGGUAAACGCAGAUACGUGUAUCUGUCUGAAAGUAUCGUACGAAUAAGGAUCGGCUAACUCCGUGCCUGCAGCGACGGUAUNGAGCGGNNGNAG
rnacentral:rRNA from 1 species